ACCCGAAUGCUGGAAUUGGUAGACAGGCAUGGUUGAGGGCCAUGUGUUCGAAUGAACGUGUGGGUUCGACUCCCAUUUCGGGUA
rnacentral:tRNA from 1 species